AUUUAAACUUCUCUUGGUGUGGAGAAAAGGUGAACUGUCCAUGCUACCUCCACCUGAGUUGUGUUUCUGCUGCUUUUGGCUCUGAGCUGGGCGUUGAUUGGCAGAAUAGACCCCUCAGCAAUUUUCUCAUUUUUGGUGUUGUCCAAAAGAAAUAGCCCAUUAAAAAUUCCCGUUUAGAUAUUACUAUGGUUUGGAAGAACAGUGCAGUAACUACUUAUUAAGAACCACAGUCACAGAUGCAGUCCUGCUGCAUUUUAUUUCCUGUGUCAGGUGAAUUUCUCAUUCCUUCCCUUGUUUGCUCCAUCUGGAGAGGCCCGGGCAUCCGUACAAAACUCAACAGUGCCUAAACACAGACACAUUAGUUGGGGCUGCCCCUGUUCCAGAUAUCGGAGAGAGAUUUUAUUGGCAUAAGGCACCAGGGUCUUCUGCCAGCUCGAUUCUCUGCUGACGCUGAGCUGAGGAACAUGGGAGGGGGCUAGGAUGGAAUGACAGCUGAGGCAGCCAAAGCCUCCAUUUGUCUUUCUGCCGAAUGUGCUAAGCUGUAGAUACUGCAGUGUUUUCAAAAGUAAUAAAAAAAAUAUAUUUUGCUCAUUAACUUUUUAAGUCCUGCUGACUUUGUGAAAUCAAUAGAGCAGAUUGUAAUUGAUUUAUGAAAUGAAAAACCCCUGCCUGACCAGUAAGCUCGGCAGGCGCCUCUCUCAGCACUGUGCCCUUCUGCUCGUUAGUGCACUUCCUUCAGCACUGCCUGAGCCAAGGACGCCGUCAGGACUGGAAGCUCAAGCCCUCUGCAGACAGACUGUUUAAGAUGAAGCUUGCGCUGUCUCCCUGGGGUCUCAGGCUUUGUCCCUGUCUCUCUUCCUACCCAGGACAGCUGAAGGACUCUCUCAGCUUCUUUCUCCCGGUCCCUAAUGUCCUCAUAAUACUUUAUAGGGAAGACCAGGCUCCAUUUAUACCUGUCUUUUGACAUUUUAAUCUAUUUGCUACUUUUCUCUCUCCUUUUCCUUUCUCUCUUAGCUUUUCUUACUUGGCUUGUCUUUUGCCAUCUGGCCUUGUCUGCUCAUUGAUACGUUUUAUUUUUUAUACACUUGCAAGGCAAAAAAAAUUUCCUUUUGCUAUUUCAAUUGCUUUUGUCUAAUUUCAGCACUUAUUCUUUCAUCCCUAAAACAAUAUUUUAUGCUUUUUCCUACUAACUCUACAUAAUUAUGUUCCUCUACUACCCUUAAAAAUUGAAGUAACUGCUAUAAGCUAGGCAUCAUCUGAGGUGCUUUACAUCAAAUCAUUGUUUCGAAAAGCACAUAAGGAAAGUAGCAUCCCCAGUUACAAGUGACGAAACAGAUUCAGAGAGGUUAAGUAAAUUGCUUGAAUCACUUAACUAUUGAGAGGCAAUGCUGAUAUUUGAAAGUAAUUCUUUCUUACUCUAAACUCUGUGUUUCUUUUUUUCCAGUACGAAACAGUGCUUCCAAUUGCCUCUGUUUUUAAAUGCUUGACUAGAUUAACUUGGCUGCUCUUAACAGGGCUCAUUCUCCUUAGUGCCACUCUGCCAAAUAACUUUACUGUUCAAGCUGCCAGAAAGCAAAUGUAUUUAGUUCAAGAUUUGUUUUACCGUGGUAUGUUGGACAGCUGACUCUUUUUCACUGAGUUCUCAAGUAUCUAAUAGUAAGGAGCCCCCUGUCUCAUCAGUAAAGGUAGAGGGAAGCAUGCUCAUGUUGUCAGGAGUCACCAAGAGCAAUCCCAUAACCUAGAAAAAUGAACAAACAACAGAGCCAAAUAGGCAACCUUUGGGAACUUUGUGCAGAUUUCAUCUCCUCUUUCUUCUUUUGAUGUGACCCUGGGAGCAAGUGGUAAAAUCAUACAGCACUGCAGCAGCAGGAAAGUGAUGCAAUGUCCUCACUUGUUAAGUGGUUGAAGUUACCUAAAGUUUCCUGCACAUGUACUGAUAUUGCAGUUAAGUGUUGAGCCGCAUCCACAAUGCGUUAGUUUGCAGUGAGUUAAUAGGUUCCAUCCAUCUGAAUUCUUGCAUAAUAUUGCAGUAGCAUAGGACAUUACUGUCAUUCAAGAUGUGCAAUAUUGUACCAAAAAUUAACCACAGAUGCCAUAUUAAAACAGCUGCAGAUUUAGAUUUAGCAACAGUAGGGAGAAAAUGUUGUGCUAUGGAAGUUGGCCAAAAGAGCAAUGGAGAUAUGCUGUAAAUGAGGAGGAGGAGAAAGAAAUUGAGGUCAAGCUGCCAAAAAAAGACAGAAAUGAAAGCGGGGGAGGGUAAUGCAUAUGGUCAGUGGCAAUUCAAAAGGAGUUAAAAUCCAGGAAGAGAGUGGUGAAUACAGAGUGAGUGAUGCCUCAGUGAGCUGAAGACAUUUUAAAGCAGGAGAUCUAAUCAGAACAAUGCUUACAGGUAUAAAUGAAGGUAUAAAGAAAAUUGCUAUGUGAUAAUUCAUCUUUAGGACUUACUGUAGGUAGACUAUUGAUUUAGGAAUAAACUGCUAGAAAAACGAUUGAUGCUUGAAGUGAUCAAUGCCUGAGAAAAGAGUUCUGGAGUAUAAAGAGUCAGCAAACCCAGACUAUUACAGGAUUUGAGACUAUCUUGGGCAUCCUUGGACUUGUAGCCUGUCUUCUGAUAAUGGACCCUCAUAAGAUUAAGUAGUCUUGUUUUGGGGAGAAGUGUUAGAAGGGUUAGCUGGUUCAAUUUUGUACUGAAAGCUGAAGUGGAAAAGUCUUAUUUCAACAGAAUUGUUGGCAUAGGAGAUUCUCAUUAACUCCAGGGCCAUCUGCCCUUUUGCUAUUCAUUUGGCUCAUUUUGUCACAGGUAGGUAGGGAGGUCUCAAUAGUUUUGGUUCCCAUUCAAUUCUGAUUUCUGCUUGGGAAAUGGAAAAGGCCAGUGACAGCUGUGGCAAUGCCAGAGUUCUCUUUCCUCUGCGUGAGCCAGAAGGUGGCUUCCGCAUGUAGUUUCCAGCUAACAGAGCAAGUGGACAGUAAGCAUUUCCCUUGUCCGCGUGUUUGGCUACCUAAUUCUUCUCUGCCUUAUGCUACACCUGGCUUAGGAGAAUAGACAAGGAACACAGUGGUCUCUGAAUCAGUAAUUGACUUCAUUGGUGGAGUGGAGGAAAGACUGGUUACUGACCAUCAAAGGGCAGUCAAUCUUGACAUUUAUCCCUAAUUUGUGUCUGCUUCCCUGGUUCAGAAAUGAAAUACUGACUUGAUUAGUAACCAGGAGAUACCUUCCAAGUUACUAGGCCUCUCCAAACUUUAAGAGAGAAAUGUUUCUAUUGCCAAAGUAUCAACUAGUUUUUCUUCUUCCCCUUUGAACACAAAAGAAUAAAAACCUGACAGUUAACCACUUGCUGUUCCAUCAGUGCUUCAGGAAAGCAAGGCAAAACAAAAGAAAAUAAAAUCAGUUUUGUUUUGGGUUUUUUUUUAAGUCUGAUGUUUCAAAAUUUCUCUCC